ensembl:lncRNA
CUGCCAUUUGUUGUGUGGGGAGGGGGCUUCUUGUCAUUUUUUUGUGUGGGGUGGGGCUGUCUGCCGUCAGGUUGGGGUGGAGGAGGCUGCCCACCAUGUCACAUAAGGCAGAUGGAAUUAUGUAUGGCAGAUCACUUACCAUGGUAACAUAGAUUAUGACAGCUGAGCCAUUGACUUUUUUAUACUUAAGAUCCAGUGGAAGCCACGGAAAAACUAUAAAAGAUCUCGCCUUCUUGAGGAAGGAACAUCCAGUAAUCCUGUUCUACCUGACAAGUGCUCUGCUCAGCUGGCAUCGAGCUCCUGUUCCGAAGAAAAUAGCCUCAAACCAGGUCUGAAAGGCGGUCUGGACCCACAGCUACACCAUCUGUGACCCCGAAGGUAAUCUCCACAGAGUUGCCUUGUUUGGGUUUACUUGAGUUUCAGAGU